rnacentral:rRNA from 1 species
AGUGAACGCUGGCGGUAGGCCUAACACAUGCAAGUCGAACGGCAGCACAGUAAGAGCUUGCUCUUACGGGUGGCGAGUGGCGGACGGGUGAGGAAUACAUCGGAAUCUACUUUUUCGUGGGGGAUAACGUAGGGAAACUUACGCUAAUACCGCAUACGACCUACGGGUGAAAGCAGGGGAUCUUCGGACCUUGCGCGAUUGAAUGAGCCGAUAUCGGAUUAGCUAGUUGGCGGGGUAAAGGCCCACCAAGGCGACGAUCCGUAGCUGGUCUGAGAGGAUGAUCAGCCACACUGGAACUGAGACACGGUCCAGACUCCUACGGGAGGCAGCAGUGGGGAAUAUUAGACAAUGGGGGCAAGCCUGAUCCAGCCAUACCGCGUGGGUGAAGAAGGCCUUCGGGUUGUAAAGCCCUUUUGUUGGGAAAGAAAAGCAGCAGGUUAAUACCCCGCUGUUCUGACGGUACCCAAAGAAUAAGCACCGGCUAACUUCGUG